GACCUCAAAUCAGGUAGGACUACCCGCUGAACUUAAGCAUAUCAAUAAGCGGAGGAAAAGAAACUAACAAGGAUUCCCCUAGUAACUGCGAGUGAAGCGGGAAAAGCUCAAAUUUAAAAUCUGACGGUCUUUUGGUCGUCCGAGUUGUAAUCUAGAGAAGUGUUAUCCGCGUUGGACCGUGUACAAGUCUCCUGGAAUGGAGCGUCAUAGAGGGUGAGAAUCCCGUCUUUGACACGGACUACCAGUGCUCUGUGAUACACUCUCAACGAGUCGAGUUGUUUGGGAAUGCAGCUCAAAAUGGGUGGUAAAUUCCAUCUAAAGCUAAAUAUUGGCGAGAGACCGGUAGCGAACAAGUACCGUGAGGGAAAGAUGAAAAGCACUUUGGAAAGAGAGUGAAACAGUACGUGAAAUUGUUGAAAGGGAAGCGUUUGAAGUCAG
rnacentral:rRNA from 1 species